AGAGUUUGAUCAUGGCUCAGGACGAACGCUGACGGUGUGCUUUAGACAUGCAAGUCGAACGAGAAAGCCCUUCGGGGUGAGUACAGUGGCGAACGGGUGAGUAACACGUGGGUAACCUGCCCCUCGCAGGGGGACAACCGGGGGGAAACCCCGGCUAAUACCCCGUACGCUCCGAGGUCCGCAUGGUCCUCGGAGGAAAGGUAGCUUCGGCCAUCCGGCGAGGGAUGGGCCCGCGGUACAUUAGCUAGUUGGUGGGGUAACGGCCUACCAAGGCGACGAUGUAUAGCUGGUCUGAGAGGAUGAUCAGCCACACCGGGACUGAGACACGGCCCAGACUCCUACGGGAGGCAGCAGUCGGGAAUCUUGCGCAAUGGGCGAAAGCCUGACGCAGCAACACCGUGUGGGCGACGAAGGCCUUCGGGUCGUAAAGCCCUGUUGUUGGGGACGAAGGGCGAAGGGUUAAUAGCCCCUAGCCUGACGGUACCCUUCGAGGAAGCCCCGGCUAACUACGUGCCAGCAGCCGCGGUAAUACGUAGGGGGCGAGCGUUGUCCGGAAUUAUUGGGCGUAAAGAGCGUGUAGGCGGUUCGGUAAGUCUGCCGUGAAAACCUGGGGCUCAACCCCGGGCGUGCGGUGGAUACUGCCGGGCUAGAGGAUGGUAGAGGCGAGUGGAAUUCCCGGUGUAGCGGUGAAAUGCGCAGAUAUCGGGAGGAACACCAGUAGCGAAGGCGGCUCGCUGGGCCACUCCUGACGCUGAGACGCGAAAGCUAGGGGAGCGAACAGGAUUAGAUACCCCGGUAGUCC
rnacentral:rRNA from 1 species